rnacentral:rRNA from 1 species
UGGGGAAUUUUGGACAAUGGGCGAAAGCCUGAUCCAGCAAUGCCGCGUGUGUGAAGAAGGCCUUCGGGUUGUAAAGCACUUUUGUCCGGAAAGAAAACGCCGUGGUUAAUACCCGUGGCGGAUGACGGUACCGGAAGAAUAAGCACCGGCUAACUACGUGCCAGCAGCCGCGGUAAUACAUAGGGUGCAAGCGUUAAUCGGAAUUACUGGGCGUAAAGCGUGCGCAGGCGGUCCGCUAAGACAGAUGUGAAAUCCCCGGGCUUAACCUGGGAACUGCAUUUGUGACUGGCGGGCUAGAGUAUGGCAGAGGGGGGUAGAAUUCCACGUGUAGCAGUGAAAUGCGUAGAGAUGUGGAGGAAUACCGAUGGCGAAGGCAGCCCCCUGGGCCAAUACUGACGCUCAUGCACGAAAGCGUGGGGAGCAAACAGG